rnacentral:lncRNA from 1 species
CAGUUCUAACUGUUGCUUCCUGACCUGCAUAUAGGUUUCUCAAGAGGCGAUGUUUUUAUGCAGUAUGCAAACUGAACCACCCUAUUACCGUAUGCUGCAAUUAUCCAUUCUGAGAUGGCUGCCAGGACCUUCUCAUAUGGUUGUGCCAUUUGUUUACUGCAAAGGCACCCU